AUAGCAACCAAAUAAGGAUGUGGUAGCAGGGAAGGUCCAAGCUGAUAAGGAAGCAGGUCAGAAGCAGCAGGAUCGCAAAGAAAUUUUAAUGAUGACAGGAUAGCAGCUGCAUUUCUGAGUAAAAGGGAUCUGUUGACGCCAGCUGAAGCGAGUGGUCCAAUCAACUGUGGAAGAGCAACGAAUGCAAGGAGAAUGGAUUCUCAUGGGAACGUAGCUGACUGGAAGGCAAUGGAACAUCAUCUAGAAGACCAAGCGGACGAAAGCCACAGUGCUGUAAAGAAAUGGGCUAGCUAUUCCCCCGAGGCUGUGAUCUGGAAGCAUUUGGAGGUGAUUGGGGCGAUCUGAAAACCUUGAAGUUCAACAGCGUGGGGUCUAAGCCAGAAGAACUUGUGAAGAGGAUUUUCAAGACCCAGUGUCAGUAUUAAGCCCAUAAUGUCUGUGGCUCAUAGGACAAAAGG
ensembl:lncRNA